rnacentral:rRNA from 1 species
CGGGGGGGGCAAGCGUUGUUCGGAAUUACGUGGGCGUAAAGGGCUCGUAGGCGGCCAACUAAGUCGGACGUGAAAUCCCCAGGCUCAACCUGGGAACUGCGUCUGAUACUGGAUGGCUUGAAUCCGGGAGAGGGAUGCAGAAUUCCAGGUGUAGCGGUGAAAUGCGUAGAUAUCUGGAGGAAUACCGGUGGCGAAGGCGGCAUCCUGGACCGGCAUUGACGCUGAGGAGCGAAAGCCAGGGGAGCAAACGGGAUUAGAUACCCCGGUAGUCCUGGCCCUAAACGAUGAAUGCUUGGUGUAACGGGUAUCGAUCCCUGUUGUGCCGAAGCUAACGCAUUAAGCAUUCCGCCUGGGGAGUACGGUCGCAAGGCUG